rnacentral:rRNA from 1 species
UACGAAGGGGACUAGCGUUGUUCGGAAUCACUGGGCGUAAAGCGCACGUAGGCGGAUUGCUAAGUCAGGGGUGAAAUCCUGGAGCUCAACUCCAGAACUGCCUUUGAUACUGGCGAUCUCGAGUUCGGGAGAGGUGAGUGGAACUGCGAGUGUAGAGGUGAAAUUCGUAGAUAUUCGCAAGAACACCAGUGGCGAAGGCGGCUCACUGGCCCGAUACUGACGCUGAGGUGCGAAAGCGUGGGGAGCAAAGCAGGG